rnacentral:rRNA from 1 species
GACGAACGCUGGCGGCGUGCCUAAUACAUGCAAGUCGAACGCUUCUUUCCUCCCGAGUGCUUGCACUCAAUUGGAAAGAGGAGUGGCGGACGGGUGAGUAACACGUGGGUAACCUACCCAUCAGAGGGGGAUAACACUUGGAAACAGGUGCUAAUACCGCAUAACAGUUUAUGCCGCAUGGCAUAAGAGUGAAAGGCGCUUUCGGGUGUCGCUGAUGGAUGGACCCGCGGUGCAUUAGCUAGUUGGUGAGGUAACGGCUCACCAAGGCCACGAUGCAUAGCCGACCUGAGAGGGUGAUCGGCCACACUGGGACUGAGACACGGCCCAGACUCCUACGGGAGGCAGCAGUAGGGAAUCUUCGGCAAUGGACGGAAGUCUGACCGAGCAACGCCGCGUGAGUGAAGAAGGUUUUCGGAUCGUAAAACUCUGUUGUUAGAGAAGAACAAGGACGUUAGUAACUGAACGUCCCCUGACGGUAUCUAUCCAGAAAGCCACGGCUAACUACGUGCCAGCAGCCGCAGUAA